rfam:Dipodomys ordii contig_40846, whole genome shotgun sequence.
GUGGGGGGAACUCAGUGGUAGAGUGCUUGCCUCAAAUGCAUGAGGCCCUGGGUUCAAUUCUUCAGCACCACA